GAGCGCGGGAAGCGAGUGGAUCCCUUCGGGGUGAAGCUCGUGGAACGAGCGGCGGACGGGUGAGUAACACGUGGGCAACCUGCCUGUAAGACCGGAAUAACCCCGGGAAACCGGGGCUAAUGCCGGGUAAUACUUUUCUUCGCAUGAAGGAAAGUUGAAAGAUGGCUUCUUGCUAUCACUUACAGAUGGGCCCGCGGCGCAUUAGCUAGUUGGUGAGGUAACGGCUCACCAAGGCGACGAUGCGUAGCCGACCUGAGAGGGUGAUCGGCCACACUGGGACUGAGACACGGCCCAGACUCCUACGGGAGGCAGCAGUAGGGAAUCUUCCGCAAUGGACGAAAGUCUGACGGAGCAACGCCGCGUGAACGAUGAAGGUCUUCGGAUCGUAAAGUUCUGUUGUUAGGGAAGAACAAGUACCGUGCGAAUAGAGCGGUACCUUGACGGUACCUAACGAGGAAGCCCCGGCUAACUACGUGCCAGCAGCCGCGGUAAUACGUAGGGGGCAAGCGUUGUCCGGAAUUAUUGGGCGUAAAGCGCGCGCAGGCGGUUCCUUAAGUCUGAUGUGAAAGCCCACGGCUCANCCGUGGAGGGUCAUUGGAAACUGGGGAACUUGAGGACAGAAGAGGAGAGUGGAAUUCCACGUGUAGCGGUGAAAUGCGUAGAUAUGUGGAGGAACACCAGUGGCGGAAGCGACUCUCUGGUCUGUUUCUGACGCUGAGGUGCGAAAGCGUGGGUAGCAAACAGGAUUAGAUACCCUGGUAGUCCACGCCGUAACNAUGAGUGCUAGGUGUUAGGGGGCUUCCACCCCUUAGUGCNNGAAGUUAACGCAUUAAGCCCUCCGCCUGGGGAGUACGGCCGCAAGGCUGAAACUCAAANGANUGGACGGGGGCCCGCACAAGCGGUGGAGCAUGUNGNUUAAA
rnacentral:rRNA from 1 species